rnacentral:ncRNA from 1 species
GGGGUCAAGUAUGGUUGCAAAGUUGAAACUUAAAGGAAUUGAUGGAAGAGCACCACCAGAAGUGGAGCCUGCGGCUUAAUUUGACUCAACACGGGAAACCUCACCCGGCCCGGACACGGACAGGAUUGACAGAUUGAUAGCUCUUUCUUGAUUCCAUGGGUGGUGGUGCAUGGCCGUUUUAGUUGGUGGAGUUAUUUGUCUGGUUAAUUUCGAUAAUGAAAGAGACUCUGGCAUGCUAACUAGUUACACGUCCUCCAAGUGGUCGGUGGUUAGCGUCCCCUAACUUCUUAUAGGAACAAGUGGCAUUCAGCCACCCAAGAUUGAGCAGUAACAGAUCUGUGGUGCCCUUAGAUGUCCGGGGCUGCACCCACUACACUGACAGGCUCAGCGUGUGCCUACUCUACACUGGCAGGUGCUGGUAACCUGUUGAACCCCAUUUGUGAUGGGGGAUUACAAUUAUUCCCCAUGAAUGAGGAAUUCCCAGUAAGUGUGGGUCAUAAGCGUGUGUUGAUUAAGUCCCUGCCCUUUGUACACACCACCCCUUGCUACUACCAAUUGGAUGGUUUAGUGAGGCCCUUGGAUCAGCCCUGCCAGGGUUGGCCCAUGGCCCUGGCCAAGCACUAAGAAGACAGUCAAACUUGACUAUCUAGAGGAUGUAAAAGUCAUAACAAGGUUUCCCUAAUUGAACUUGCGUACA